rnacentral:rRNA from 1 species
CGGCGAGUGAAGCGGCAACAGCUCAAAUUUGAAAUCUGGCCCUCUUGGGGGUCCGAGUUGUAAUUUGCAGAGGGUGCUUUGGCGUUGGCUGUGGUCUAAGUUCCUUGGAACAGGACGUCGCAGAGGGUGAGAAUCCCGUAUGUGGCCGCCAGCCUUCGCCGUGUAAAGCCCCUUCGACGAGUCGAGUUGUUUGGGAAUGCAGCUCUAAAUGGGAGGUAAAUUUCUUCUAAAGCUAAAUAUCUGCCAGAGACCGAUAGCGCACAAGUAGAGUGAUCGAAAGAUGAAAAGCACUUUGGAAAGAGAGUCAAAAAGCACGUGAAAUUGUUGAAAGGGAAGCGCUUGCGGUUAGACAUGCCUUUAGUUGCUCAGCCGGGCUCUUUGGCCCGGUGCACUCUUCUAUAGGCAGGCCAGCAUCAGUCUGGGCGGUCGGAUAAAUGCCUAUUAAACGUGACUCCCCUCGGGGAGAGCUUAUAGGGUAGGCGCCAUGCGACCAGCCUGGACUGAGGUCCGCGCAUCUGCUAGGAUGCUGGCGUAAUAGCUGCAAGCGGCCCGUCUUGAAACACGGACCAAGGAGUCUAACAUCUAUGCGAGUGUUUGGGUGUCAAGCCCGGGCGCGUAAUGAAAGUGAACGGAGGUGGGAUCCCUUCGGGGUGCACCAUCGACCGAUCCUGAUGUCUUCGGAUGGAUUUGAGUAAGAGCAUAGCUGUUGGGACCCGAAAGAUGGUGAACUAUGCCUGAAUAGGGUGAAGCCAGAGGAAACUCUGGUGGAGGCUCGCAGCGGUUCUGACGUGCAAAUCGAUCGUCAAA